rnacentral:rRNA from 1 species
GAUGAACGCUGGCGGCGUGCCUAAUACAUGCAAGUCGAGCGAACAGACGAGGAGCUUGCUCCUCUGACGUUAGCGGCGGACGGGUGAGUAACACGUGGAUAACCUACCUAUAAGACUGGGAUAACUCCGGGAAACCGGAGCUAAUACCGGAUAAUAUAUUGAACCGCAUGGUUCAAUAGUGAAAUACGGUUUUUCUGUCACUUAUAGAUGGAUCCGCGCCGCAUUAGCUAGUUGGUAAGGUAACGGCUUACCAAGGCAACGAUGCGUAGCCGACCUGAGAGGGUCAUCGGCCACACUGGAACUGAGACACGGUCCAGACUCCUACGGGAGGCAGCAGUAGGGAAUCUUCCGCAAUGGGCGAAAGCCUGACGGAGCAACGCCGCGUGAGUGCUGAAGGUCUUCGGAUCGUAAAACUCUGUUAUUAGGGAAGAACAAAUGUGUAAGUAACUAUGCACGUAUUGACGGUACCUAAUCAGAAAGCCACGGCUAACUACGUG